rnacentral:sRNA from 1 species
CUUCCUCGAUCUGCUGCGGGCAUAUGUAGUGGAUGUGUGCAUCCAUUCCACCAGCCGUCAAGAUUUUGCCUUCGCCUGCGAUGGCCUCAGUUCCGGGACCAAUAAUGAUGGUUACACCAUCUUGCGUAUCCGGGUUACCCGCCUUUCCGAUAGCGUGAAUUGAACCGUCUUUCAGACCGACAUCCGCUUUGUAGAUACCGGUGUGAUCGACAAUAAGUGCGUUUGUGAUGACCGUAUCUACGGCGCCGUCGGCUCGCGAUAACUGACUUUGCCCCAUGCCAUCACGGAUG